GACGAACGCUGGCGGCGUGCUUAACACAUGCAAGUCGAACGGAAAGGCCCUGCUUUUGUGGGGUGCUCGAGGGGCGAACGGGUGAGUAACACGUGAGUAACCUGCCCUUGACUUUGGGAUAACUUCAGGAAACUGGGGCUAAUACCGGAUAGGAGCUCCUGCUGCAUGGUGGGGGUUGGAAAGUUUCGGCGGUUGGGGAUGGACUCGCGGCUUAUCAGCUUGUUGGUGGGGUAGUGGCUUACCAAGGCUUUGACGGGUAGCCGGCCUGAGAGGGUGACCGGCCACAUUGGGACUGAGAUACGGACCAGACUGCAACGGGAGACAGCAGUGGGGAAUCUUACACAAUGGGCGGAAGCCUGAUGCAGCGACGCCGCGUGUGGGAUGACGGCCUUCGGGUUGUAAACCGCUUUAGCCUGUGACGAAGCGUGAGUGACGGUAAUGGGUAAAGAAGCACCGGCUAACUACGUG
rnacentral:rRNA from 1 species